CAGUUACUCCCUGGGGCCUGGACAGUAGAAAGAUGGACUUGGAAGUCCUCCGGGCUUGUCUGUGUCCAGUCCCCACCUCACUACAUUGUGUGGCAUCCUGGUGACCUUCCAGAACACCUUAGAGGAGGGGUCUGUGCAGAAGCCAGGCUGCUGGGACUGCUGGGAAAUCUGAGAUGGUAUCCUCAACACCUGUAAAAAGCACAGCCUUGUAAGACAGACAUCAUUAGCAACCGUCUGAAAGAAGAGACUUGGUUCAGAGAGGUGGUGGAAACCCGCUGGCCACACAGCCAGAAACAGAGGAGCACCAACCUGCCCACAUUUUGAGACUGAAUUCAAGGCGGGCCUCUUCUGACCCUGGCCUGCAGCACCUCCUCCCCUGAGUGUGCCUCACUGAGUGACUUGGUCUCAGGAAACAGACAGCAGAAACAACGGGGCCUCGUGUCUGACACUGGGUUACAAAGCAUGGCAACUUCAAUCUUGCUGCCAUGCUGCCUGGGUGGGCAUUCUGACUUUGGUGUUUUUACAAGGCAAUUGGCCUACACAUCAAAGACAUGGGGGUGGCCUCUAGCCAGCAGCCAGCAAGGAAACGAGACCCUGGAGACCCCAGUCCAACAGUCUGUAAGAAAAUGAGGCAGCAACAUUCGCAAAGCUCAGUGCCAGCUCCUUCCCCAGGGAGAUUUCCAGUGAGACUACAGCCUUGACUGGCAGAAGUGCCAACCGUAGGGCCCUGCUUCUGCCACCGGGGGCAGGGGGUGGGGGGUGCAGUCAGCAUUGGCCUGACAGUGCACACUGAGGCAAUCCAAAUGGGUGGUUUUAAGCAGUCAAGGUUCCCUGCAAGACAUAAGAUAAUGAAUGCAGUGUGCCUGGCCCAGCUCCCUAACUGGACCUUUUAGAAACUUCUAGAACUAAAGUCCCUCUGGCAGAUUGUGUGUCUGAACAUAUGCAUGUCUGUCCUGUUUUGCUUUCUGUUGCAGUAGUGAAAACACUCUGGCUAAAAGCAACUUGGGGGAGGAAAGGGUUUAUUUGUCUUACAACUUAGGGUCACAGCCUGUCAUUGAGGGAAGUCAGGGCGGGAACUCAAGCAGAAAUCAUAGAGGUAGAGGGGAGCCAGCCACCCAGGGAGAGAUGCUGAGGGAGCCUGUGGGGGCAGGGUGAGAGCUGGAGGCCCCGCCCUGCUCCUUCAUUCAAGGGACACCACCCCCUGAAGCAGCUACCGUCAGCCUCGACUCACAGAAGAUGGAGAGAGUAGCCCUUCACGUGUCUGUGUGGUUCCCACACCUGCACAGGGUCAGUGACGACCCAGGCUCAUCGCAGACCUCAUACUUUCUUCCUCAGAUGACAUUUGAAGUCAACCUAAUAAAAUCCUGCUCUCUGUGUCAGAAUAAAACCUCAGCAGAUGCUCUGUCA